ACUUUAGAUGGAAAUUUAUUUCCUUUUACCUUUUAAGAAAACAGAGAUUUGGGGAGAGAGAAAAAUGCAUAUUAUGAUAAAGUAUUUUAUGAUUAAUAUUUAUACAGAACAUACUUUAUAGUAAGAGCAAUCUGAAUUAAAUGCAGAUUCAUUUUAAAGCCACUACACUAAUUAAAAAAAAAAAAUCUGUAGCAUUUUCUUUGCUUUUAGAGCUCAGAAAACAUAUAAACAGUUUAACUUCCUACACUUUUUUUUGCUAACUUCCUACACUUAUCAGCAGCAAUGCCAUUGUAGAAACUUGGCAGUUCUUGGUAUUACCAGAACAUAAGCUUCAUUUGUAGAAAACGUGACCAAUUUACCUUUUGUUUUAAAGUGCAGACCCGCCUCAUGGGACUUCAAAUAAUAUGCUGAAUAAACACACUGACAAUCGUUUUAUACUAGGAAAUAAUCUUAGAAUUCCACUAAAAGAACAUUUGUAGGAAUGCUAACUUUUUCUCUUGUUAGACCCAUUGCCAAGUUUUAAGAACAAAAAGGAAGAAUAUGAGGACACUAUCAUACAGAAUUUUUGGAAUGAGAAAAUAAUUCCUUUUCCCUUUACUUCCUAUUUUGUGAAGCUGGUAUUACAUUAC
rnacentral:lncRNA from 1 species